GUUUGAUGGUGAGCAGACGUGCCAGCCCCUCUCUUCAGUGCAUCCCUAUUUUCUGAGGAACCACUCGGGUCAAGGACGACCCACAUCUUAGUAGAAAGUUGCCCAUCUAGAGACGACCACAAGACGAACACAGCAUGUUUGCGAUGCAACGGGCCGGUCUGCCUACAGCAUCAAACUGUCUUGUGUCCGAAGUGUGUGCCUCGUAUGUAGGUAGCAAAUUUGGCCGUCGCACUUGUCGUGGGUGGGGCCCCAUUUACUGUACAUAUCCAUUAGAUA